UACGUAGGGUGCGAGCGUUAAUCGGAAUUACUGGGCGUAAAGCGUGCGCAGGCGGUUGUGCAAGACCGAUGUGAAAUCCCCCGGGCUUAACCUGGGAAUGGCAUUGGUGACUGCACGGCUAGAGUGUGUCAGAGGGGGGUAGAAUUCCACGUGUAGCAGUGAAAUGCGUAGAGAUGUGGAGGAAUACCGAUGGCGAAGGCAGCCCCCUGGGAUAACACUGACGCUCAUGCACGAAAGCGUGGGGAGCAAACAGG
rnacentral:rRNA from 1 species